UACGUAGGGGGCUAGCGUUGCUCGGAAUUAUUGGGCGUAAAGGGCGCGUAGGCGGACAGUUUAGUCAGAGGUGAAAGCCCAGGGCUCAACCUUGGAAUUGCCUUUGAUACUGGCUGUCUUGAGUUCGGGAGAGGUGAGUGGAAUGCCGGGUGUAGAGGUGAAAUUCGUAGAUAUUCGGCGGAACACCAGUGGCGAAGGCGACUCACUGGCCCGAUACUGACGCUGAGGCGCGAAAGCGUGGGGAGCAAACAGG
rnacentral:rRNA from 1 species